CUGAUUCCGAAUCAGUCUUUAAUGGCCCUUCCAGGGUGCCUUAGUUCAAGCGUUCAAGUGGUGAUACAGGUGGAGGUGUCGCCCUCUAGAGGUAGUCGAGCUCCAGUGCGUGGCUAAGAGCUUCCAGGUCUGCCCGGCAGGACACCCUCCAGAACGGCAUGUUCUUCUGAGGAAACGCUUCCCGUCGCACCCCCUUCGCGUUGAGACUCCGCCCCUGUCUACCUCCUCUUUACCUGGCGUGGGUGGACUGGGUGGCGGGUGGUACUCCCCUAAAAUGCACCAUCCCGGAAGAAUGAGUCAUUGGAAGCUCCCUGGCAACCCAACAAUCUUCAAAAUAACAAUAACAAAAACAAAAAGUCCCAUAUUCCCCUUUUGCUUUCACUGCAAAAGCACAACAAGGAAAAAAAACAACAUCCUGCAAACAUUUGGUCUUUUGUGGCAGUUUGUGACCAUGUGACUUCUCCACUGCUGAUUUAUGCAUAAGCACAUUUUUCAAACACAUUUAUUUUGUUUGAGAACGCCAUCUCUCCAAAGGCCGC